rnacentral:rRNA from 1 species
UACGUAGGGUGCGGUCGUUGUCCGGAAUUAUUGGGCGUAAAGAGCUCGUAGGCGGUUUGUCGCGUCGGCCGUGAAAACUUGGGGCUUAACUCCAAGCUUGCGGUCGAUACGGGCAGACUUGAGUUCGGCAGGGGAGACUGGAAUUCCUGGUGUAGCGGUGAAAUGCGCAGAUAUCAGGAGGAACACCGGUGGCGAAGGCGGAUCUCUGGGCCGAUACUGACGCUGAGGAGCGAAAGCGUGGGGAGCGAACAGG